rnacentral:tRNA from 1 species
GGCGGCAUAGCCAAGUGGCUAAGGCGACGGUCUGCAAAACCGUUAUCCCCAGUUCGACUCUGGGUGCCGCCUCCA